rnacentral:tRNA from 1 species
AAGGGUAUAGCUCAGUGGUAGAGUGCGUGCUUAGCAUGCACAAGGUCCUGGAUUCAAUACCCAGUACCUCCA